CUGAAACAUAUAAGUAUGACCUGUACAUGCCUAAAGCUCCUCCUCCCUCCUGUCAUUGUGAUAUUAAAUGCCUCCUCCAGCAUCUCCUCCUCAUCUUCUAAACUCUCAUCUGUCAGCAGUAAAGUCACUUUACAAGCUCCAAGAUUAUUCUCAGCACACACUGACAUCAUGCUGGGGACCCUCUGCGCUCUCAUCACUGCUCUAACAUGUGUGAGAGGAGCGACUGUGGUGACACAGACUCCUCCUGUUGUGACAGUGAGGAAAGGAGAAACGGCCACCAUGGACUGUAACCUAGGGAGUGUUACUGACAGCAGUGCCCAAUGGUACAGACAGAUCCCAGGAGAAGUUCCUCUAUAUAUGCUCAGGUUUUAUCAUGGCUGGAGUGCACCCAAAUAUGACACUGGGUUCCCUUCUGCAAGACACACAUCUACUCAUCAGUCAACAUCAGAUUACCGUUUGCAUAUCAGCGGUGUGGAAGAAGGAGAUUCUGCAGUUUAUUACUGUAGCACAUGGGACAACUCUGCUAAAGAGCGGGUAUCACAGUGAUUCACACUGUGACAAAAACCUCCCCAAUAGCACUUCUGCUUUUUCUCUCACUAAUACAUAAACCAAGUGGAGCCACAAGCAAUAGCUUCAUCCAACACACAGCAUAUAUUUUUUUUAGCAUUUACCCUCUUUAAAGGUUUUUUUUAUUAAUAAAUAAAACCAGCAAGUACUACAUUAUGUCUGCAAAAUUAUUUACUUAAUCUUACUUAAACAGUACAAUAACAAAUAUCUCUUACAUGUCACAAGUCUAAAAAAAAUAGAUAUUGCACUAAUAUUAAGCUCAUAUUAAAACUGACUAACAAUAAAUAUUACCUAAUAAAAUAAACAGAAAAUGUGUUAAAGGACAAGAAAAAAAACAGACUAAAAUAUGAUUUAUGCAGAUUUGAUCAAAAUUCCUUAAUGGUAAUUUAAUAUCUGGAGCAGAGAUUAUGUUAUCAUUAAGUUAUGUGUUGAAAUUUAACUUUCAACACAUAACUGUGUUGAAAGUUACCGCUGGAAACUUAUUACCGUUGAAACUUAGGUUCUUAAUUUACAUGAAAGUUUAAUCAUGGAGAUGAUGUCUGCAGCUGCAUCCUGUGAGAACAGAGAAUGAGAUGUAGAUAGGUGAUGCUUCAUUGACAGAAGAUGAAAAUUCAGUUUAAUCUUUUCUUUCAAGUAUUUUACACCACUAAACCAGAUUCUUAUUGAUUAAUAUUCUCCUCUGCUUAUAGUACAAAUUUAUGGCUAAAACUUACUCUGUUAUGAAAACGUUUUAGAUUACAAUGAGUUAAAUAGUGGUUUUUGUUUCUUCAAAUUAUGAAAUCAAAAAGAAAUAUUUGAUUUAUGAUUGAGGCAGUUGUGUUUAUCUUCUAUCAACCACAAGCAAAAAUUUUAAGCUGUUUUACAAUUUGUUUGCCUUGUUUACUGUUUUUUCUUUUAUAGUGUUUAGAUGUUUUCAAUAACCUCCCCUUCUACAUUGCUUUUUAAUAAACACUUUCAUAUGAA